rnacentral:rRNA from 1 species
ACUCAAGAAAAGAAUAUUAGUUCACCCUAAAGUAACUUAAUAAAAUUAAAUACCCACUUUAGAGUAAUUCAAGCAAGGUACACCUUGCUUGAAAAAGGAUACAACCUCAAACAACGGGUAACUAUACACACCAAAAACCAAGUAGGCCUAAAAGCAGCCAUCUUAAAAAAGCGUCAAAGCUUAAUUUUUAUAUAAACCUAAUACCUAAUCACACACAGAACCCUUCAACAAUAUUGAGUAUUUCUAUGCCUCAUAGAACUUUUUAUGUUAAAACUAGUAACAAGAAAACAUUCUCUUAUAAUGUAAGUACAAGUCAGCGCGGAUAACCACUGACUUCUAUACAGUCAAACAAACAGCGCCUUUCCAAGAAACCCCUGUUUCAAUAGCUGUUAAUCUAACACAAGAACAUUUCAAGAAAGAUUAAACAAAAAAGAAGGAACUCGGCAAACUUUAAUCUCGCCUGUUUACCAAAAACAUCGCCUCUUGACAAAAUGAGAGGCCUAGCCUGCCCAGUGACCCCCCCCCGUUAAACGGCCGCGGUAUCCUGACCGUGCGAAGGUAGCGUAAUCACUUGUUUUUUAAAUAAAGACUAGUAUGAAAGGCAUCACGAGGAUUAAACUGUCUCCUUUUUUUAAUCAGUGAAACUAAUCUUCCCGUGAAAAAGCGGGAAUCUUCAUAUAAGACGAGAAGACCCUGUGGAGCUUUAAGGCAAAAUAAUUACCGCACCCUCUUCCCAUCAUAGCACGUAUGAGGGCACCUUAAUUACCCCCCCUUAGGUUGGGGCGACCGCGGAGUAAAAUCUACCCUCCGAGCAAAGGGGACUUCCCCCCAGCAAUUAGAGCUACAGCUCAUGCAUCAAUAAAUUGACACUGACCCAAUUACUUGAGUAACGAAACAAGUUACCCCAGGGAUAACAGCGCAAUCUACCUCAAGAGCCCAUAUCGACAGGCGGGUUUACGACCUCGAUGUUGGAUCAGGGUAUCCCAGUGGUGCAGCCGCUACUAAAGGUUCGUUUGUUCAACGAUUAAAACCCUACGUGAUCUGAGU